rnacentral:rRNA from 1 species
GACGAACGCUGGCGGCGUGCCUAAUACAUGCAAGUAGAACGCUGAAGGAGGAGCUUGCUCUUCUGGAUGAGUUGCGAACGGGUGAGUAACGCGUAGGUAACCUGCCUGGUAGCGGGGGAUAACUAUUGGAAACGAUAGCUAAUACCGCAUAAGAGUAGAUGUUGCAUGACAUUUACUUAAAAGGUGCAAUUGCAUCACUACCAGAUGGACCUGCGUUGUAUUAGCUAGUUGGUGGGGUAACGGCUCACCAAGGCGACGAUACAUAGCCGACCUGAGAGGGUGAUCGGCCACACUGGGACUGAGACACGGCCCAGACUCCUACGGGAGGCAGCAGUAGGGAAUCUUCGGCAAUGGACGGAAGUCUGACCGAGCAACGCCGCGUGAGUGAAGAAGGUUUUCGGAUCGUAAAGCUCUGUUGUAAGAGAAGAACGAGUGUGAGAGUGGAAAGUUC